rnacentral:misc_RNA from 1 species
GAUGAAGAACGCAGUGAAAUGCGAUAAGUGAUGUGAAUUGCAGAAUUCAGUGAAUCAUCGAAUCUUUGAACGCACCUUGCGCCUUUUGGUAUUCCGAAAGGCACACCUGUUUGAGCGUCAUGAAUACCUCAAUCUCCAUCUUUUCUUCGGAUUGAUGGGUGACUUGGAUGUUGAGCCCUGCUGGUAUGCUAUAUCAGCUGGCUUUAAACUUAUUAGCCGGCUCUGUACUGGAUCGGUUUGACUCGACGUGAUAAUAUUAUCGUUGAGGAUGCAUGUCUCAUGCAGCCGGAAAGUAUCAAAGCAGCUUCUAGCUUGCCUUUAGUGCACUUUUACAUUUUAGACCUCAGAUCAGGUGGGACUACCCGCUGAACUUAAGCAUAUCAUAAGCGGAGGA